UAAACACCGCCGCAAAGUGUAGGGAGUGAAAUUAGUGUUGUGAAACGGUAAUAUUUGAUGAUUGGUUUCAAAAAUUUUGCAGGCA
rnacentral:misc_RNA from 1 species